rnacentral:rRNA from 1 species
ACGAACGCUGGCGGCGUGCUUAACACAUGCACGUCGCACGGAAAGGCCCUGCUUUUGUGGGGUGCUCGAGUGGCGAACGGGUGAGUAACACGUGAGUAACCUGCCCUUGACUUUGGGAUAACUUCAGGAAACUGGGGCUAAUACCGGAUAGGAGCUCCUGCUGCAUGGUGGGGGUUGGAAAGUUUCGGCGGUUGGGGAUGGACUCGCGGCUUAUCAGCUUGUUGGUGGGGUAGUGGCAUACCAAGGCUUUGACGGGUAGCCGGCCUGAGAGGGUGACCGGCCACAUUGGGACUGAGAUACGGCCCAGACUCCUACGGGAGGCAGCAGUGGGGAAUAUUGCACAAUGGGCGGAAGCCUGAUGCAGCAACGCCGCGUGCGGGAUGACGGCCUUCGGGUUGUAAACCGCUUUCGCCUGUGACGAAGCGUGAGUGACGGUAAUGGGUAAAGAAGCACCGGCUAACUACGUG